rnacentral:rRNA from 1 species
UACGUAGGGUGCGAGCGUUAAUCGGAAUUACUGGGCGUAAAGUGUGCGCAGGCGGCCGCGCAAGUCGAGUGUGAAAUCCCCGAGCUUAACUUGGGAAUUGCGCUCGAAACUACGUGGCUGGAGUGUGGCAGAGGAAGGUGGAAUUCCACGUGUAGCGGUGAAAUGCGUAGAUAUGUGGAGGAACACCGAUGGCGAAGGCAGCCUUCUGGGCCAACACUGACGCUCAUGCACGAAAUCGUGGGGAGCAAUCAGG